GCGUAUAACAAUUUGAUCUGAAAAUAUAAUUACUCCAAAAAUAUGUAAAAAUGUUACAAACAAGUAACCUGAACCUGAAUAUUUUAGAAGAAAAUAUAUUUUACCAACGCAUCAACGAACGAUCGGCUGAGCCAAGAAAAGUGAUUUACGCAUAAAUAACCAAAAAAAGAUCAAUAAAUUGGUACUAAACUUAUAUAGUUACUCAUAAAUACCCAAGUAAAAGUAUCACUGAUUUUAUUUUUAAGUGUUCCUCAUCAACUUAGUCGAGUGAAAGCUGAAGGUUUUUUCCUGGUUCUAAGCGACAACUAAAUUGUAUAAUUAUUAACAAAUGUCUACCCUAUCUCCAAUUUAUAUUCCAAUACCUUUUGGAAGAGUGUCUUAAUUUUAUUAUAAAAAACAAUAAUUUUGCAAAAGAUACUAACGACUUUGUAGUUUCGCAUUAGUUAGAAAAAAAAAGAAGAUUGGCUGAAAAAUUUUAAUUUCCUAAAAUAUUUAAGGAUUGAGCAAAGGAAUAGAAACGGUAACGGAACCUAACUAUAAUUCUUUAAUCGUUUUAUCAUAGAAAAUCCAAAGCUUUUCACAUUUGCAUUCCAGGGGUUUUGCCGUAAGGGAAAAAUCGUUAGUAUUCUAAAUAGACAAAAGAUUAUUUCUUGAUAGUAUGAACGUAAGGGAUUCAAUCAAAUAUCGAAUAAAAUUUACAAGAAUUAUGUCGGUUAAAUCACAUUCAUCACUGUUUGAUUGUGCUUCUUAAAUACUAAGUCUCAGUAUUAGCCAUGUU